rnacentral:rRNA from 1 species
AGCUCCAGUAGCGUAUAUUAAUGUUGUUGCAGUUAAAAAGCUCGUAGUUGGAUUUCUGAUAUGACGAGCCUGGCCCGCUUUACGUUCACGUGAGUGAGUGCCGGCGCUUGUCUGUCAUCCAUCUAGAGAACGGUUCUACCCUUCACUGGGUCGGUUCCGCAAUCUAGAUCUUUUACUUUGAAAAAAUUAGAGUGUUCAAAGCAGGCUUGCGCUGUGAAUACAUUAGCAUGGAAUAAUAAUCUAGGACUUUGUUCCUAUUUUGUUGGUUUCUAGGAGUAAAGUAAUGAUUGAUAGGGAUAGUUGGGGGUGCUAGUAUUCAGUGGCCAGAGGUGAAAUUCUUGGAUUCACUGAAGACUAACUUAUGCGAAAGCAUUCACCAAGGAUGUCUUCUUUAAUCAAG